GGAAAAGAUUACUGAUGCUGGAAACCUGGAAUAUAAAGCUGAGAGUGAUGGAAAUAUUUUCUGGUCAGACGGCAUCUGUGGGAAGAGAAAUAGAGUUAAUGUUUCAGUGUAGCUGGUCAGUGGCACACAGAUCAGAAUGGAAGUGGAAUGAUGUGGCAACAACAGGAGCCCUGAGCAGGGGAGAAUGGAACGGAGUCUUGACCGGAGGCAGAGUGGGAAAAGGAAGGCUACUUGGGUAGUUGUGGAGGACGUGAAUGCACUGGACAAGUUUCCAAUCACAGCCCAUCCUGAGUUAUCACUGAGGCAGUGACGAGUCAUCCAGACUGGUAGACCUGGAAUCACCGACCAGCCAGAGUGCAGCUUCCCUUCCUGAAGGAUUUUACUGAACUCCUGUUACCUGAGCACUCGUGAAGAAUGAAACCGAGUUGUAGUGCUGCGGACCCAGCCAACACAUUCCGAAAGCCCUGGUUCAGUGCAUUUCCUAAAAUGAUAGAAUCAGCAACCUUCAUCGGCUGAGUUUCACCACUUGUCAGCUGGAACAUUGCUCUCUCAUUCUCUAAGGGAAGAGAAAACUGAUGGGACUAAUUCCACAACCUAGAAGUGCAUCUGCUCCUGAUGUGUCAGUGAGAGCAGCCACAAAGAUCACUCUGCAUCACCGAAUAUCCCUCAGUAGGCCCAAGUUGGAGGUGAAUGUUCACAGUAGAGGACACAGGGACUGAAAUGAUGGGCUAUCUGGUACUGCACACAAGCUGUUCCAUAUUUAUAAGAUGUAUAAAGUAUUAUAAACUGCUUAGACAGGUAUAUAUUAAAUAUCAUAUUUUAAACUGAUUGGUUUAGGACUAUUUCAAAACUUUGUAUUUGUAAACCAGGAAGCACAGUUGCUAGUCAGAUUUUGAAAUAUCCAUUAUAUGUAAAGUCAAGUUAAAAACUCUGAAAAUUUUACAAAUAACAGGACAAGCAUUGUGAAAAUGAUGGAGAAAUGUUCUCCCAGGAAUAUCAGCAUGAAAGCGAGCAGAUAUGGGCGCAGAAUAGCUGACGGCAAAAGACUUAACCAAGCAUGUUACCUGAAAUCCAUUGAACAUGAUUUUAUAAAUGUUAUGUCGCAUCCUGGUCAUUAUAGUUUUUAUAUAUUAAAAAAUCUUGGCGAACAUUGGUGUGAUAACAAUAGAACCAAGUCCAGAAAGUUAGAAACAUAUUUGAAUGUACAAAUUCCCUGAAAUGGUGCUUACUUACUAACUCUUUGAUGUUAGUAUUCUAAACAGCAGAAACAGCUUGAAUUUAUGUAGAACCUUUGAUCGAAUGUUUCACUCAGUGUAAUUUGAUAAAAAUUGACACCAAGUCAAAGAAGGAAAUAUUUGAACAGGCUGCUUGUGCUAGAUGAAAGAAGAGAGGCUUGUCAAGCACUGUCAAUUGUGGGGUUAGGCAGUACCAGAGCUCAGAAAACCCGAAGUCUCAGAGCUCUGGGGUUGGUGAGAGG